UACGUAGGCAGCGAGCGUUGUUCGGAAUUACUGGGCGUAAAGAGUGUGUAGGCGGCGCUCUAAGUUCGGUGUGAAAUCUCUCGGCUUAACUGGGAGGGUGCGCCGGAAACUGGAGUGCUCGAACGUGGGAGAGGAAAGCGGAAUUCCUGGUGUAGCGGUGAAAUGCGUAGAGUAUCAGGAGGAACACCUGCGGUGUAGACGGCUUUCUGGACCAUUGUUGACGCUGAGACGCGAAAGCGUGGGGAGCGAACAGG
rnacentral:rRNA from 1 species